rnacentral:rRNA from 1 species
GGUUAAGCGACUAAGCGUACACGGUGGAUGCCCUGGCAGUCAGAGGCGAUGAAGGACGUGCUAAUCUGCGAUAAGCGUCGGUAAGGUGAUAUGAACCGUUAUAACCGGCGAUUUCCGAAUGGGGAAACCCAGUGUGAUUCGUCACACUAUCAUUAACUGAAUCCAUAGGUUAAUGAGGCGAACCGGGGGAACUGAAACAUCUAAGUACCCCGAGGAAAAGAAAUCAACCGAGAUUCCCCCAGUAGCGGCGAGCGAACGGGGAGGAGCCCAGAGCCUGAAUCAGUGUGUGUGUUAGUGGAAGCGUCUGGAAAGGCGCGCGAUACAGGGUGACAGCCCCGUACACAAAAAUGCACAUGCUGUGAGCUCGAUGAGUAGGGCGGGACACGUGGUAUCCUGUCUGAAUAUGGGGGGACCAUCCUCCAAGGCUAAAUACUCCUGACUGACCGAUAGUGAACCAGUACCGUGAGGGAAAGGCGAAAAGAACCCCGGCGAGGGGAGUGAAAAAGAACCUGAAACCGUGUACGUACAAGCAGUGGGAGCACGCUUAGGCGUGUGACUGCGUACCUUUUGUAUAAUGGGUCAGCGACUUAUAUUCUGUAGCAAGGUUAACCGAAUAGGGGAGCCGAAGGGAAACCGAGUCUUAACUGGGCGUUAAGUUGCAGGGUAUAGACCCGAAACCCGGUGAUCUAGCCAUGGGCAGGUUGAAGGUUGGGUAACACUAACUGGAGGACCGAACCGACUAAUGUUGAAAAAUUAGCGGAUGACUUGUGGCUGGGGGUGAAAGGCCAAUCAAACCGGGAGAUAGCUGGUUCUCCCCGAAAGCUAUUUAGGUAGCGCCUCGUGAAUUCAUCUCCGGGGGUAGAGCACUGUUUCGGCAAGGGGGUCAUCCCGACUUACCAACCCGAUGCAAACUGCGAAUACCGGAGAAUGUUAUCACGGGAGACACACGGCGGGUGCUAACGUCCGUCGUGAAGAGGGAAACAACCCAGACCGCCAGCUAAGGUCCCAAAGUCAUGGUUAAGUGGGAAACGAUGUGGGAAGGCCCAGACAGCCAGGAUGUUGGCUUAGAAGCAGCCAUCAUUUAAAGAAAGCGUAAUAGCUCACUGGUCGAGUCGGCCUGCGCGGAAGAUGUAACGGGGCUAAACCAUGCACCGAAGCUGCGGCAGCGACGCUUAUGCGUUGUUGGGUAGGGGAGCGUUCUGUAAGCCUGUGAAGGUGUGCUGUGAGGCAUGCUGGAGGUAUCAGAAGUGCGAAUGCUGACAUAAGUAACGAUAAAGCGGGUGAAAAGCCCGCUCGCCGGAAGACCAAGGGUUCCUGUCCAACGUUAAUCGGGGCAGGGUGAGUCGACCCCUAAGGCGAGGCCGAAAGGCGUAGUCGAUGGGAAACAGGUUAAUAUUCCUGUACUUGGUGUUACUGCGAAGGGGGGACGGAGAAGGCUAUGUUGGUCGGGCGACGGUUGUCCCGGUUUAAGCGUGUAGGCUGGUUUUCCAGGCAAAUCCGGAAAAUCAAGGCUGAGGCGUGAUGACGAGGCACUACGGUGCUGAAGCAACAAAUGCCCUGCUUCCAGGAAAAGCCUCUAAGCAUCAGGUAACAUCAAAUCGUACCCCAAACCGACACAGGUGGUCAGGUAGAGAAUACCAAGGCGCUUGAGAGAACUCGGGUGAAGGAACUAGGCAAAAUGGUGCCGUAACUUCGGGAGAAGGCACGCUGAUAUGUAGGUGAAGUCCCUCGCGGAUGGAGCUGAAAUCAGUCGAAGAUACCAGCUGGCUGCAACUGUUUAUUAAAAACACAGCACUGUGCAAACACGAAAGUGGACGUAUACGGUGUGACGCCUGCCCGGUGCCGGAAGGUUAAUUGAUGGGGUCAGCGCAAGCGAAGCUCUUGAUCGAAGCCCCGGUAAACGGCGGUACGUAACUAUAACGGUCCUAAGGUAGCGAAAUUCCUUGUCGGGUAAGUUCCGACCUGCACGAAUGGCGUAAUGAUGGCCAGGCUGUCUCCACCCGAGACUCAGUGAAAUUGAACUCGCUGUGAAGAUGCAGUGUACCCGCGGCAAGACGGAAAGACCCCGUGAACCUUUACUAUAGCUUGACACUGAACAUUGAGCCUUGAUGUGUAGGAUAGGUGGGAGGCUUAGAAGUGUGGACGCCAGUCUGCAUGGAGCCGACCUUGAAAUACCACCCUUUAAUGUUUGAUGUUCUAACGUUGACCCGUAAUCCGGGUUGCGGACAGUGUCUGGUGGGUAGUUUGACUGGGGCGGUCUCCUCCUAAAGAGUAACGGAGGAGCACGAAGGUUGGCUAAUCCUGGUCGGACAUCAGGAGGUUAGUGCAAUGGCAUAAGCCAGCUUGACUGCGAGCGUGACGGCGCGAGCAGGUGCGAAAGCAGGUCAUAGUGAUCCGGUGGUUCUGAAUGGAAGGGCCAUCGCUCAACGGAUAAAAGGUACUCCGGGGAUAACAGGCUGAUACCGCCCAAGAGUUCAUAUCGACGGCGGUGUUUGGCACCUCGAUGUCGGCUCAUCACAUCCUGGGGCUGAAGUAGGUCCCAAGGGUAUGGCUGUUCGCCAUUUAAAGUGGUACGCGAGCUGGGUUUAGAACGUCGUGAGACAGUUCGGUCCCUAUCUGCCGUGGGCGCUGGAGAACUGAGGGGGCUGCUCCUAGUACGAGAGGACCGGAGUGGACGCAUCACUGGUGUUCGGGUUGUCAUGCCAAUGGCACUGCCCGGUAGCUAAAUGCGGAAGAGAUAAGUGCUGAAAGCAUCUAAGCACGAAACUUGCCCCGAGAUGAGUUCUCCCUGAGACUUUAAGUCUCCUGAAGGAACGUUGAAGACGACGACGUUGAUAGGCCGGGUGUGUAAGCGCAGCGAUGCGUUGAGCUAACCGGUACUAAUGAACCGUGAGGCUUAACCUU